rnacentral:lncRNA from 1 species
UGCUAUUGUAUGUAUAUUCUUAAAUUAAAGAACAACAAAACAAAACACAUUUCAUAUGUUUUUGACAUGUAUAUGCUUGGGAUCACUUAUCAUUUACACGUAACAAGUCAGCUAUAUAGAAACAAAAACAUUAUGUGAAAAUGUUAAGAAGAGAGAAGCCAAAGACGCCCUUAAGUAAAAGGUCCACAUGCAAAGCAACCGGAUUAUUUAAAAAAAAAAAAUGCUCAUGAUCUGUUAUUAUUAUCUCAUACUAUACAACUUAUCCGUAUUUCACGUGUGACUUAAGAUUCCAAUUAGGCUAUGAUUACCUGUAUCGCACGAAUAUAUGCUUUUGAGAUUUCAUAUUAGACGGUCAUGAUCUCUACUUCCAUCAUAGAACGUUGUGGUGUGGUUG